GACGAACGCUGGCGGCGUGCCUAAUACAUGCAAGUCGAACGCUGAAGGAGGAGCUUGCUCUUCUGGAUGAGUUGCGAACGGGUGAGUAACGCGUAGGUAACCUGCCUGGUAGCGGGGGAUAACUAUUGGAAACGAUAGCUAAUACCGCAUAACAGUAGAUGUUGCAUGACAUUUGCUUAAAAGGUGCAAUUGCACCACUACCAGAUGGACCUGCGUUGUAUUAGCUAGUUGGUGGGGUAACGGCUCACCAAGGCGACGAUACAUAGCCGACCUGAGAGGGGGAUCGGCCACACUGGGACUGAGACACGGCCCAGACGCCUACGGGAGGCAGCAGUAGGGAAUCUUCGGCAAUGGACGGAAGUCUGACCGAGCAACGCCGCGUGAGUGAAGAAGGUUUUCGGAUCGUAAAGCUCUGUUGUAAGAGAAGAACGAGUGUGAGAGUGGAAAGUUCACACUGUGACGGUAUCUUACCAGAAAGGGACGGCUAACUACGUG
rnacentral:rRNA from 1 species